rnacentral:rRNA from 1 species
UACAGAGGGGGCAAGCGUUAUUCGGAAUUAUUGGGCGUAAAGGGCGCGUAGGCGGCCUUGCGUGUCUUUCGUGAAAUCCCUCGGCUUAACUGAGGACGUGCGGAAGAAACUGCAGGGCUCGAGUCCGGGAGAGGGGGGUGGAAUUCCCAGUGUAGCGGUGAAAUGCGUAGAUAUUGGGAGGAACACCGAUGGCGAAGGCAGCCCCCUGGGUCAAAACUGACGCUCAUGCACGAAAGCGUGGGGAGCAAACAGG